GUCUACGGCCAUGCCACCCUGAAUAAGCCCGAUCCUGUCUGAUCUCGGAAGCUAAGCAGGGUCGGGCCUGGUUAGUAUUUGGAUGGGAGACCACCUAGGAAGACCAGGUGCUGUAGGCA
rnacentral:rRNA from 1 species